rnacentral:rRNA from 1 species
AACGAACGCUGGCGGCAGGCCUAACACAUGCAAGUCGAACGCCCGUAGCAAUACGGGAGUGGCAGACGGGUGAGUAACGCGUGGGAACGUGCCCUUCGGUUCGGAAUAACUCAGGGAAACUUGAGCUAAUACCGGAUACGUCCGUAAGGAGAAAGAUUUAUCGCCGAGGGAUCGGCCCGCGUCGGAUUAGCUAGUUGGUGAGGUAACGGCCCACCAAGGCGACGAUCCGUAGCUGGUCUGAGAGGANGAUCAGCCACACUGGGACUGAGACACGGCCCAGACUCCUACGGGAGGCAGCAGUGGGGAAUAUUGGACAAUGGGCGAAAGCCUGAUCCAGCCAUGCCGCGUGAGUGAAGAAGGCCUUAGGGUUGUAAAGCUCUUUCAGCGGGAAGAUAAUGACGGUACCCGCAGAAGAAGCCCCGGCUAACUUCGUGCCAGCCGCCGCGGUAAC